AGAUUCUAGUGCUGGAAAUCCAAGGAAGCUUUCCAGGUGUGUACUAUUACAGAUUGGUUGAUCUACUGUAGUCCUGUAUCAUUCUGGAUGUAAAAGGCACGAUGACACACCAGUACAGCAUAGUAUAAAGCCUCAUGGUGGUUUAACCCUACUCCAAACGCAAGCUACUGCUGUGACACAGAAACAAGACCUAAAGUAGGCAUGUGAGGAUGCUUAACGUUGUUUUUCUCCUUUUGGGUCCUUUUAGACAUGGUGUUUUUAGCCAUAAAAAUUCUGAGUGCUGGGAGAAUUCCACCACAGCUCUAAAGCUUAGGGCUCUUGCUAGUUUGGGGCAUGGUGUUGGAGGAAGUGCUAUGGUCUCCCUUACCUAUACCAUUUUUAUAACAGAGCUCCUUGGGAAUUUGCCACCUCAAAAAAUAAGCUGGGGAGCUCAGUCACCCCCAGCUCCUUUCACUGAGAAUCCCUCCAGUGGCAAGAAAUGAGACGAAGUCUUAGGAAAAGCAGCGUGAGGAGUGGGCUUCUUAACACUGACGUGGGCUGUGUGAGGCAGGGGACCAGGGAUGGAAAAUAAGUGACACCAGAGGUGCUCCAUCUACCUGUCCCUUGCCUCUAUGAGCCCCACUCAGCCCUGCUGGCUUUCCAAGGUUAAAAGUCUGAUCCGCCGCCUGCUGUACACACAGUCAUCAAGGCUGACAGAAUUGUUCUGCACCUCCACUAAAUACAGCAAAAACCAGCAAGAAUAACACCAAACCCAAGCUGAAUCCCACUGUGCCACACUUGGAGGCAUUUCUGAGCACACAGAAGUAAGACAGAAGAAAUGAGCAGCCAUCUAAAGCACAUGCUGCUGUUGGUGAUCACUGUCUCCACUUCACAGAAUCAUAGAAUGGCCUGGGUUGAAAAGGACCACAAUGAUCAUCGAGUUUCAACCCCCUGCUAUGUGCAGGGUCGCCAACCACCAGCCCAGGCUGCCCAGAAGGAGAACUUCAGCCAUGUACCAAACACCGAGGAAGUAAGACCUUCCACAGACUCAUUCUGCUUUCCUCAUGGACCUUUCUUCUGCUGCCCUCCUACCUCCAGGACUCAUCUUUACCUCCUCUUCAUUGACUCUGUCCAUGAAAGUUGCCGUCAGGGUGCGUCUCUUGUUUUCCUUGACUGACUCCUCAGUGUGUUUCUCAGCCUGCAAGGAAUAGAGCUGAUGUUUUUAAAGGAAUGCCUCCAGAUCUAAGCUUAUCUGUGCCCAUACGAGUCCACUGAUAAAUUUAAGGAGCAGAUUUGGCUUCCCCUCUGGCUGAUGGGUACAUUUCUACAUGGAAAGAGGUUGUUCCAGCACAUCACUGCAGUGUGGGAUCACAAGGAGACCGGCGUGGAUGUCAGGAUAUUGCUGUGGCUGAAGAUGUGAAGCAUGCCACUAGAAAGCUCAAAACUGAUGUAAUUCAGGCCUGGAGCAUCUUGUGAGAGUGGCUGCGCUGAAUUCCUUCCUACCAGGAUUUCUCUAAAGCACUCAGGAAUCCCAGUGAUUCGAUGAUGUCUCACAACGCCUUGAUGAUGAAGAAGAUGUGAAUGAUUACAGCUCAUAGAGAUCUCACAGCUGGGGAAGAGAAUAUUGUUUGUUAGAGGGAUUGCUGUGAAACCAUUCCAUGCAAGCUGCCUUUCUGCCCUGAAUAGCAGGAAGACCCCUCUAUUUCUAACCAAGGAAAGAUCUGCCUUCCCUAUAGCAUACAUCUUUUCUCUGCCUUGCUGUAGUGACUGAUUCUGGAACACCUUUAGGGUGCAACGAGGAUGAAGGGCAAUGCAUUGCAUACUGGUCUGCCCUUCAAAUAAUGGUGUGGCUUUUUGAAAAUGUGAUGGUUUAAAAAAGCAAAAAGAGGAGGAAACCUUUUCUGAUUAAAACUGACCAUAUAUAGACAGAAAAUACCAUAAAAUCAUCAAUGGAAAAGUCAGUGUUUUCUCAAGGAAAAGUAAGAAUUAGAUAUAGGAUUUUCUUUUGUUCUUCUUUGUCUUGAUGCUGACACUCUAAGAUGUCAGCUCCAAUGCUGUGUGCCUGGAAGAGUCUGUUCUUAUUCUUGGGAAAGCCUUGUUUUGCAGGCUCGUGUGUCUGUAGUUCAAGUAAUGAAGAUCACUUUUACACAUCAAUUACAACACGGAAAUGAGUUCCAUGACAGGCGCACCAAAUACGGAGCAUCUUCAAACAGCAGGAGGUGCUUUGGGCGUUGGGAUGGAGAGAAAAUGGAUGGAUGUGACUGCUGUCCAUGCAGGUACCACUUGGAAAAACUGUACAGGAACAGCUUAGCAAGUGAUCUCUUCACCACGGUCUGCUUGGUGUGUCUGUUUAAUCUGAAUGGUGACGGAGGGUUGGAAAGGCAGAAGAGGAUGAACUUCCACUUCCAAAUGGUCAACAACAGAAAUGAGAGAUCUGUACAUGGAGACAACUAGCACAGGUUACCCAAAGGCUGGAUUAAAAAGCAAAGACAAAAGCUCAUCAUGGUGAACCUACUUAACAGCUCACAACUGUUUGGUAUCUCUGGAGGUUAAUUUUGAGAGCAAACAACUUGGAGUCAAGAAAAUCCUCAGCCUAUAAAGGGAGCAUCUACAUUUUAGCAGAGCCUCGUGCAAAAGCCUGGGAGAGAUUGAAUGGUGCAGUGACUCCCUGCUUGCUCCCAUUCCUCCAAAGGGGACACAGCACAGCCGAGAGCCAAAACAUAGCAUCGUACCAGGCACUCUGAGGAAAACAAUUCCAUCCCAGCUGAAUGUAAGACAAGGGGUAUGGGAGGAUGCGGUGGAUCUGGUAUGUCUGAUGUGAAAAGCCACUACAGAGCAAAUAGCACCUGCAUACUGAUGUACCUCAGGUUGAUGCUGCAAACCUGCUGGGUGUAGCCCAGUGAAAGAUGGCAGCCAAGGACCUCAGCGCUGCAGAGGUUUUCAGCAGCUCCACUGAUGCAGGUGGUUCAGUUGAAGCCAGGCCGUAACAAAGCUGUUUCCUAAACGGUUCUUCUAAUUUUCAUGGUGAUUACUGCCAGCCAUCACAUUUAGUAGUCGCUUCAACUUCUUUUGGAAAUCUGUUGAUGUUUCCUGGGAUGAUGCUGUGAACACAGUGAGUCUCCGUGUUGCCUGAUGCAGAUUGUGCCUAUCGAGGGCAUAUCUACGCAGUGGCAAACCAUCUGCGAGCAGCCAGGAUUUAUUGUUUCACUGAUUCCUGGAACUGAAAAUAUUAACGACGUAAAAUAUUGAUUUGAGAAAACAAACCAAAGUUGUUUGGUGAGCCCCUCAUUCGGGCGCGAUGCUGAGAUGUCCAUCCAUUCCGUUUGUAUUUAUUGACGAAAUUGGAUAUUUUCCAGCCUCCAGCCCUAUGGACAGCUUCGUAGAUCAGCUCAUAGAAAUUCCAGCUCUGUCUUUGCAAAACGCUGCACAGGGAUCCAUUUUUCCCCAGCAUAUUCCUCCUCCAGGCUUGCAGGAAGCUGGAAAGAGUGGGGAAGCGUGCAUUAUGUGCUACACGGAGCACCAAGCAUGAAAAAUACGCAGCCUAAGCUGAGUAACCUUAUUUCUUCUGAUUUCGUGUGAUCAGGAGGUGCCGUGCUUCCAAUUCAGGAGUAAAUUAGAGCCUGCUUUUCUUUGCCUAUUAAGAAUAACGGUGUGGACAAACACUGCUCCUGAUUUACUCUGUCAGAUCAUGCCCAAGUGGAAGAAGAGCCCUCCUGCACCAUAGCUUUGGGAGCAUCACAGUGGGAUGCAGUGCAGUCACGGGGAACACCAAAAAACCCACUUGUAUGAAGACAUCAGUGACUGGGAGCCUGCAUGACACAUACUCCUGUAGCCACAAGCACACACUGCCAGCCCCCAGGAGGUGACCCCAUCCACCCCCUGUGCCCCUGGAGCAGUUCAUUACAGUGCCCAGCUUUUCUAAGUGAGAUUUAUGGCUUGCCUGGGGAUAAUCAUUGCAAGGAAAAAGAUCAAUGAUAUGCAAGUCAGUGGGAAAAGCAGCAAGUUCCAAUCGCUGCCUCGUUGGAAGGCAUCAAACAUCUUCAUAAACUAUUUAAAGGUAGAAAUGAUCAUUAACCUUUGCUGUAGCCCAUUGCACACAGAGCAGUCAGUGCCGUUUAGGAUGACACACGGCUCAGCUGUGCAUGUCAGUGCUCUCAGGUCAUCUGCCCACCAGCUCUGUAUUGGAGGAGGUUUUGGAUGGGCAAGCCAAACAAAGCAGAGCUCGUUGCUCACUCUUCAGCCUUGCUUUGCAUCGACUCGCCGCUGCAUCACUUUACAGCCACCUCAAAUUAACAGCCGUGGUUAUUUUCCUUAGUCAUUAUUAUCCUUAAUAUGGCACGAAAGCACUUCAUUUUUCCUAUGGGACAAACCAUGACCCAGAUUCUCGUGUGCAGAGAUGGGAGAGGAGCAGCUCACCCGGGCUCAGCCUCUUUCUUUGAAAGCACAUUGAGGUGACAUCAGUGUCCCUGUGGUCCCACACCGCAUCCCUCUGCUGUGAGGACUCAUAGCACUCACUGCUAUGUUCUGAGUGGGAGAUGGUGUUGACAAUUCCAAUCCCACCUCCUUUCCUCCCGGCCUCUCUGAUGCUGGAUCAAUGACAUUUUUCUGAAGCUGCCUACAUUUGGUGUUUUACUGCCAACUGCAUGUGGCCCUCUCAUUUUAAUUACUUCUGCUGUGUCUAGCACUAUAUGCUCUAUAAUGUUUCAGAGGCUGCUUGCAAUUAAAAUAAAAAAUAAGUAAUACAUUACAGGUUACAACCCAGUCAAUCUCCAUGCAUUGUAAUUCACAGCAGCUUUAUAUGCUGAGCUUUCCAAGUGGCUUAUAGCCCACAUAAUAACAACAAAACCCUGAGCCACAGGAAAAGCAAGGCAGAGAUAUUGUCUUUCUGAGUACCUUUCCUGGUGGGUGCUUUAUUUUUCCAGUUCCUUUGCUCUUGAAAGAAAAUGUUGACAUACUUAACUUCCCAUCUCCUGGUUUCCAGGGGACUCAAUGCAAUCAGGCUCCUUGCUGGGGAGGGGCUAUGCUUAUACCCUGUUGUGCAUUAGUGAUGUCUGGGGCCAACUCCCACCUUGCUGUAACCUCCUUUCAUGUCAUUGUGGAGAGCAAUGAGGUCUCCCCUGAGCCUCCUCUUCUCCAGGCUGAACUAUCCCAGUUCCCUCAGCCACUCUCUAUGAGACUAAAAGGGCUGGGAGGAAAUAAGCACAUAUAGAUUAGAGUAUUUUGGCUUCAUGUCAACAAAACACAUAAGCAUGCGCUUAACUUUACGCACUACCACGGUUCUACCCAUGAAAAACACGGACAAAAUGUCCUCCUGUUCUCCUGCUGGGUAAUUCUAACAAUUAUUUCUCAUUGGUUUUUAUUUUUCAGUCCUCCUUUCUCCCCACAAACUCUUUCAGCCUAUCUCAGAGAACGUGGAAAAGCCUAAAUGAAACAACUCAUGCAGGGAAGCACAAGGGGGAUUUUUGUUUAGAAAUCCUAGCAGCAGAUUUCCAUUAUUAUAAAUACAGGCUGAAUUCACUGGUGACAAUAUACAACAUUUAAUUUACAUGUAAAGUGACAAAUUAAAAUCUGAAAUUCCCUGCUUUGUUCUCUGAAAGAAAUGUAACACGACAAGCUCUGAAAGGUGCUCAGCUCUGCCCCGGCAGCACUGCAGGUCUGUGGCUUCAUGUGAUGUGAUGGAGCCCUUAGCAGUGUCAGAAACACCUCAACCCAAUCAUCCAAAGGUGUUUGGGUGCUCAAGUCUCAUCCCAGUUGGGUGUUUUGAGAGUAGAUCCCAGGAGCUGGGUUGAAAUGCAUGCGGGGAGCUGCUGAUUUGAGCACAUUUUGGGCCAGGGGUUGUGUUUACAUCUUAUCACUUCUGUCCUUGCUCCAUUUGUGUCUUGCUGCUUCUGUAAAGCUGCUCCAUCCUUAGCCCAUCCUUGCAGCCUUUCUUGGUGUCUUUUCCAGUUCUAUUGCAGACGGUGCUGACGAGUGGCAGUAUCUGUGUUUUGCAAUAGUGACUCUCAUACACGAGGUGUGGUGGGCAGUGUGUUGGAAGCAAUCUGCUGGCAGUGUGCUGGUGUGGACUUCUCAGCCUGGUCGUAGAAGCUUCCCUGGCCAUCAGCUCCAUGGUCCAUUAUCUCCUUCCCUGCUGACCACCUGAUUACUGCAGCCUUACAAAUCCUCUCCUGCCGCACUUGAAACGUGGCCAAAACAUGGGUAAUACCUACACCUGCCCUCACCUCAUUUCACUUCUAUGCUUUCCAGCAGUGGGGAUAGACAUGAAAAUGCCCCAUCGCUGCUGCGGCACUUUGCUUUUGACUGCAGCAGGUCCAGGGCACAGAUAGGUGCCACUGUUCAUUUGUUACAGCAGCAAACAACAUCAGCCCGGCUGACACUUGCCUCAGUGAGUGCUUUCCUCUGUAGGAAUUCACAAAACAAUUGCUUAAUCUUUUCUGACACUCUUUAGGUGUUUAAACAACAAAAAAAACCUACCAGCUUAUUCCCAUUCCCUGACACGGUGAUGUAGAGACCUGGAGAAUUAAACUGCUGAUGAGCUCCUUUGUUUUAAAUGAUUGCAGUAGGACAUAAAGGAGAGUGGUUUUAACUAGGCUAAGUGAAACAUAAGUUUUCUGAAGGAUACUGAUGUCUCUUUUCAAGAGGCAUCACUAACAGUUGUCUGCUGAGGCAAGCUUGGAUGGAAACACCAGGGCUCUCUGUUGAGCUGGAAUCUGAUUUCUGGGGGUGAACUCCUGCUUCGUAUCCCACUGCAGUCAGCGGGAGAUCUCCCCAUGACAUGGGAUGGGAUGGGGUGUCCUGAACAUCUCCCUGGAGCAGGAAGAGCUGAGAGAGCUCAGCUCUGCAGCCACGGGGCCUCCCGGGUCAGGUCAGCCCCAAAAGAGAGCCCAUGGAGUGCAGAUGUGCAGCUGCACAUCUUGGUGUACCCGGUUCCCCUAUCAACAGAGCCGCACAAAUUGUGCUCAGACCAACCCUACCCAAUUUCUCAGUGCAGUGGUAACAACCAGAGGCAGCUUGCACACAGGAGUGCACACACUGCAUGGCCAACUUCAGAGCAAGAAGAGGUGGGUAGGAAACACACCAGCUAUCUGCUGGCCUCAGUGCUAAGCUCUGUUCAAAUUUACAACCCCAGGCUUCUGCUAAUGAACCAAAUACUCCUCCUUGGGACCAUAUGUUGUGCCAUGCUCCCACUGCAGCCAUCCCGAGUGGCAAAUAUAGUGUUGGUUCGUUUUGUUCUGUUUCAUUCCUGCCGAUCCCAAAUGCCAGCACCAGGUACAGAGAAUGCUGCAGGGAGGAAAAUAAAAGAUGCUUUGUGCACAGUGCCCAGCCUGGGAGUGUUUUUCCAAAGGAGGCAGGUGGGAAGGG
rnacentral:lncRNA from 1 species